UACGAAGGGGGCUAGCGUUGUUCGGAUUUACUGGGCGUAAAGCGCACGUAGGCGGAUCGUUAAGUCGGGGGGUGAAAUCCUGGAGCUCAACUCCAGAACUGCCUUCGAUACUGGCGAUCUUGAGUCCGGAAGAGGUGAGUGGAAUUCCUAGUGUAGAGGUGGAAUUCGUAGAUAUUAGGAAGAACACCAGUGGCGAAGGCGGCUCACUGGUCCGGUACUGACGCUGAGGUGCGAAAGCGUGGGGAGCAAACAGG
rnacentral:rRNA from 1 species